CAGCCAUUGACUGUAACUUAUUUGUGCCCAGAAAAUUCUGUCAGUAAAAGCUUCAAAGAAACUGUUAGUCUCCAGCCUGUAUUUGGAUAACCAACAUCCUCACUACACAAAAUGAAACAAACACACGGAAGAAAUAGCGUCCUCCAACAAAAGUCUCGAGACAUCACACAAGCUCAUCUGUGAAACAUAGUGGAGUCAUCACUUGGAGGCCAAUAAGAAUGAAUGAUGGCUGCCCAUCCCUCGCAGACAAGAGAGAGUUCACCGUUCAGUGCGGACUACCUAAAGAGAUGGAUGAACAUCUGGAAGUCAUUGGUCUACAAGUUAAGGAGCUGGACACAAGACACACAUCCUUCCCCAUACGCGCACACACACACAAUCCCUGGUAAUAGAGAAUGAUGAGUCAUUUUCCCUCUUAAGUGGUCAAGCUGGCAGGCGCUUCCAUUGCAGAGAACUAAAAGUGUGAGGAAAUUAAAGUGCAAUGAAGAUGAAGAUGAUGAUUAUGGAAUGAUUCGGCAAGAUGUCAAAAAUAAUUAAGCCCUAGAAAACAUUGAGGACGACCAAGGACACACUGGAGAGACUGUCUUUCGGCUGGCUUGGGAACGCCUUGGGAUCCCUCCGGAAGAGUUGGAAGAAGUGGCUGGGGAAAGGGAAGUCUGGGUAUCCCUGCUGAAGCUACUUCCCCCCCGACCUGACCCGGAAAAGCGGUACAUGAUGGAUGGAUAGAUAAAAAACAUUGGUCACGUGUUGAGCAAAGUAGUUUGUGUGGUCAGUUUCCACAACAUAUUGAAACCCACACAUUACAUUCAUCCCUAAUACAGAUAAGCCUGUCUAAAUUCAACAUGCAAACAGAACAGCUGCUGUAUUCUCUGACACAAAUCCAACCAAAAUGUGAGACACAGAGUCAAUUGAGCAAUUAGUAUACUUUACACAUAUUGUAGAAUUUAGAUGCUCUUUAACAUUCAUCCAUUUUCCCCUGGCUCAUAGAAGAGCUAACACUGUGACAUUGAAUAUCCUUUAGCAUCGAUUGAUUGAUCCCACCCACACACUCGCCCACACACUAAUUUAUAAACAGACUUUGUGCAGGUGGGCAACAGCCAUCUGGCUCUCAAAAUGGUGUCUGUGACUUGUAUGUAUUUUACUGUGGUGAAAAUGGGAGGAAUCUUGAAGUAUGCCUCUGUUUGAGCGGGACGAGUU